rnacentral:rRNA from 1 species
UAAGACGGGGGGGGCGAGCGUUGUUCGGAAUUACUGGGCGUAAAGGGCGCGCAGGCGGCUUGGGAAGUCUUGGGUGAAAGCCCCCAGCUCAACUGGGGAAUGGCCUGAGAAACCACUAGGCUGGAGUGCUGGAGAGGGAAGCGGAAUUCCCGGUGGAGCGGUGAAAUGCGUAGAUAUCGGGAGGAACACCAGAGGCGAAGGCGGCUUCCUGGACAGACACUGACGCUGAGGCGCGAAAGCUAGGGGAGCAAACGGGAUUAGAUACCCCGGUAGUCCUAGCUGUAAACGAUGGGUACUAGAUGUGGGGGGUAAUUGAAAGUCCUUCCGUGUCGCCGAUAACUCAAUAAGUACCCCGCCUGGGGAGUACGGCCGCAAGGCUG